rnacentral:rRNA from 1 species
AGAGUUUGAUCAUGGCUCAGGAUGAACGCUGGCGGCGUGCUUAACACAUGCAAGUCGAACGAACCUUCGGGUUAGUGGCGGACGGGUGAGUAACGCGUGGGAACCUGCCCUCAGGAGGGGGAUAACGGCUGGAAACGGCCGCUAAUACCCCAUAUGCCGAGAGGUGAAAAGAAAUUCGCCUGAGGAUGGGCCCGCGUCUGAUUAGCUAGUUGGUGGGGUAAGAGCCUACCAAGGCGACGAUCAGUAGCUGGUCUGAGAGGAUGAUUAGCCACACUGGGACUGAGACACGGCCCAGACUCCUACGGGAGGCAGCAGUGGGGAAUUUUCCGCAAUGGGCGAAAGCCUGACGGAGCAACGCCGCGUGAGGGAUGAAGGCCUCUGGGCUGUAAACCUCUUUUCUCAAGGAAGAAGAACUGACGGUACUUGAGGAAUAAGCCACGGCUAAUUCCGUGCCAGCAGCCGCGGUAAUACGGGAGUGGCAAGCGUUAUCCGGAAUUAUUGGGCGUAAAGCGUCCGCAGGCGGCCUUGUAAGUCUGUCGUUAAAGCGUGGAGCUUAACUCCAUUUGAGCGAUGGAAACUACAAGGCUUGAGUGUGGUAGGGGCAGAGGGAAUUCCCGGUGUAGCGGUGAAAUGCGUAGAUAUCGGGAAGAACACCAGUGGCAAAGGCGCUCUGCUGGGCCAUAACUGACGCUCAUGGACGAAAGCCAGGGGAGCGAAAGGGAUUAGAUACCCCUGUAGUCCUGGCCGUAAACGAUGAACACUAGGUGUCGGGGGAAUCGACCCCCUCGGUGUCGUAGCCAACGCGUUAAGUGUUCCGCCUGGGGAGUACGCACGCAAGUGUGAAACUCAAAGGAAUUGACGGGGGCCCGCACAAGCGGUGGAGUAUGUGGUUUAAUUCGAUGCAACGCGAAGAACCUUACCAGGGUUUGACAUCCUGCGAACCUCUGAGAAAUCGGGGGGUGCCUUCGGGAACGCAGAGACAGGUGGUGCAUGGCUGUCGUCAGCUCGUGUCGUGAGAUGUUGGGUUAAGUCCCGCAACGAGCGCAACCCACGUCUUUAGUUGCCAGCAUUCAGUUGGGCACUCUAGAGAGACCGCCGGUGAUAAACCGGAGGAAGGUGUGGAUGACGUCAAGUCAUCAUGCCCCUUACAUCCUGGGCUACACACGUACUACAAUGCUACGGACAAAGGGCAGCAAGCUCGCGAGAGUAAGCAAAUCACAUAAACCGUGGCUCAGUUCAGAUCGUAGGCUGCAACUCGCCUACGUGAAGGAGGAAUCGCUAGUAAUCGCAGGUCAGCAUACUGCGGUGAAUACGUUCCCGGGCCUUGUACACACCGCCCGUCACACCAUGGAAGUUGGCCACGCCCGAAGUCGUUACUCCAACCCUUGUGGAGGAGGACGCCGAAGGUGGGGCUGAUGACUGGGGUGAAGUCGUAACAAGGUAACC